rnacentral:rRNA from 1 species
UACAGAGGUGGCAAGCGUUGUUCGGAAUUACUGGGCGUAAAGGGCGCGUAGGCGGCCUACUAAGUCAGACGUGAAAUCCCCCGGCUUAACCUGGGAACUGCGUCUGAUACUGGAAGGCUUGAGGGCGGGAGAGGUCGGUGGAAUUCCCGGUGUAGUGGGUGAAAUGCGUAGAGAUCGGGAGGAACACCUGUGGCGAAGGCGGCCGACUGGGCCGACCCUGACGCUGAGGCGCGAAGGCGUGGGGAGCGAACGGG